GAUGAACGCUAGCGACAGGCUUAACACAUGCAAGUCGAGGGGCAGCGGGGGUAGCAAUACCCGCCGGCGACCGGCGCACGGGUGAGUAACGCGUAUGCAACUUGCCUAUCAGAGGGGGAUAACCCGGCGAAAGUCGGACUAAUACCGCAUGAAGCAGGGGCCCCGCAUGGGGAUAUUUGCUAAAGAUUCAUCGCUGAUAGAUAGGCAUGCGUUCCAUUAGGCAGUUGGCGGGGUAACGGCCCACCAAACCGACGAUGGAUAGGGGUUCUGAGAGGAAGGUCCCCCACAUUGGUACUGAGACACGGACCAA
rnacentral:rRNA from 1 species